GACGAACGCUGGCGGCGUGCUUAACACAUGCAAGUCGAACGGAAAGGCCCUGCUCUUGCUGGUUGCUCGAUUGGCGAAGGGGUGAGUAACACGUGAGUAACCUCCCCUUGACUUUGUGAUAACUUUAGGGAACUGGGGCUAAUAUCGGAGAGGAGCUCCUGCUGCACGUUGUGGGUUGGAAAGUUUCGGUGGUUGGGGAGUGACUCGCUGGUUAUCGGCUUGUUGGUGAGGUAGUGGCUUACCAAGGUUUUGACGGGUAGCCGGCCUGGGAGGGUGACCGGCCACCUUGGGACUGAGGUACGGCAGAGGCUCCUACGGGAGGCAGCAGUGGGGAAGAUUGAACGAGGGGCGGAGGCCUGAUGAAGAAACGCCGCGUGCGGGAUGACGGCGUUCGGGUUGUAAACCGAUUUCGCAUGUGACGAAGCGUGAGUGACGGUAACGUGUAAAGAAGCCCCGGCUAACUACGUG
rnacentral:rRNA from 1 species